rnacentral:rRNA from 1 species
GACGAACGCUGGCGGCGUGCUUAACACAUGCAAGUCGAACGAUGAAGCCCAGCUUGCUGGGUGGAAGAGUGGCGAACGGGUGAGUAACACGUGAGUAACCUGCCCUGAACUCUGGGAUAAGCACUGGAAACGGUGUCUAAUACUGGAUACGACCUAUCACCGCAUGGUGUGUGGGUGGAAAGAUUUAUCGGUUCUGGAUGGACUCGCGGCCUAUCAGCUAGAUGGUGAGGUAAUGGCUCACCAUGGCGACGACGGGUAGCCGGCCUGAGAGGGUGACCGGCCACACUGGGACUGAGACACGGCCCAGACUCCUACGGGAGGCAGCAGUGGGGAAUAUUGCACAAUGGGCGCAAGCCUGAUGCAGCAACGCCGCGUGAGGGAUGACGGCCUUCGUGUUGUAAACCUCUUUUAGUAGGGAAGAAGCGAAAGUGACGGUACCUGCAGAAAAAGCACCGGCUAACUACGUG